GAUGAAGAACGUAGCGAAAUGCGAUACGUAAUGUGGAUUGCAAAUUCAGUGAAUCAUCGAGUCUUUGAACGCACAUUGCGCCCCCUGGUAUUCCGGGGGGCAUGCCUGUCCGAGCGUCAUUGCUGCCCUCAAGCACGGCUUGUGUGUUGGGCCCCGUCCUCCGAUCCCGGGGGACGGGCCCGAAAGGCAGCGGCGGCACCGCGUCCGGUCCUCGAGCGUAUGGGGCUUUGUCACCCGCUCUGUAGGCCCGGCCGGCGCUUGCCGAUCAACCCAAAUUUUUAUCCAGGUUGACCUCGGAUCAGGUAGGGAUACCCGCUGAACUUAAGCAUAUCAAUAAGCGGAGGA
rnacentral:misc_RNA from 1 species